rnacentral:rRNA from 1 species
AAUGAACGCUGGCGGCAGGCCUAACACAUGCAAGUCGAACGGAUCCUUCGGGAUUAGUGGCGGACAGGUGAGUAACGCGUGGGAACAUGCCCUUUGGUACGGAAUAGCCUCGGGAAACUGGGAGUAAUACCGUAUGUGGUCGAGAGACGAAAGAUUUAUCGCCAAAGGAUUGGCCCGCGUUGGAUUAGGUAGUCGGUGGGGUAAUGGCCUACCAAGCCGACGAUCCAUAGCUGGUUUGAGAGGAUGAUCAGCCACACUGGGACUGAGACACGGCCCAGACUCCUACGGGAGGCAGCAGUGGGGAAUCUUAGACAAUGGGGGAAACCCUGAUCUAGCCAUGCCGCGUGAUCGAUGAAGGCCUUAGGGUUGUAAAGAUCUUUCAGGUGGGAAGAUAAUGACUGUACCACCAGAAGAAGCCCCGGCUAACUCCGUGCCAGCAGCCGCAGUAACAC